ACACACACACACACACACACACACACACACACACACACACACACACACACACACACACACACACACACACACACACACACACACACACACACACACACACACAUUCUAUAAUUACGAAGAAGAUUAGACUACUUUGUGUGUGUUUGUGCAAUUUAUUUGUGCGUGUGUUUAUUUGUGUGUGUUCCUCCAGUCCAAGUUCUCCUGUGGUUCCAGAGCGACGCCCAUCUUUCACGCCCACAGAAAACGCAAGUACGGAUAGCGACGAUGACAACGACGAAGGGGACUACGUCAACCAGCCGGUAGGACUACACCUCUGUGACAUAACCUACCCUCACUCUCCUGCCGGCCACCCUCAACCUUGCCCCGCCUCUCUCUCCUUUCAGGUGUUUGACCUCCAGCAUUCAAUCCGAUUGGACGAAACCUAUUGACACAGAAGAGUUUCACGUAUUCUAUUUGAUCUCGUGUCUCUGUUGGGGAAGAGAUAAAUGACAAUAUGGAUGACUGCAGUUGUUUUUAGAGUUGGUGUGGAAAGAUACAGGCUCUGUCUAAAUGCUGGAUCAGUCUGCUGUUCAUAAGGAAUGGAAAUGCAUUUCGUGCCCCCCCCCCCCCCCCCCCCCCACACACACACAGUAAAGCGCUUUGGGUAUCUUGAAUAGCGCUAUAAAACUGCAAUUAAUAUUUGUUCACCUUGUGCUAAGACGGCAUUUACCCAUUCAUGUCCAAAUCCAACCCUAGCGGUCAAACAGAUGCAAUUGCAUGCGUCACUCUGCUAUGAUUGGCUGUUGGGAAGUGACUCUGCUGUGAUUGGUCGAUUUGUUAAUGCUUUAUUGUGGACCUGCUGACUCUCCUGAGAAUGUUUAGAGUUGAACCUGUUGUAUUUAUAUGUUGUGAGCACUGUAGAUCCCUAGCUGCAAGGCCUUCUGUCCUGACAAUUAAACUCCUCAAACCA